UACGAAGGGUGCUAGCGUUGUUCGGAAUCACUGGGCGUAAAGCGCGCGUAGGCGGCUUUGUAAGUUAGAGGUGAAAGCCCGGAGCUCAACUCCGGAACUGCCUUUAAAACUGCAUCGCUUGAAUCCAGGAGAGGUGAGUGGAAUUCCGAGUGUAGAGGUGAAAUUCGUAGAUAUUCGGAAGAACACCAGUGGCGAAGGCGGCUCACUGGACUGGUAUUGACGCUGAGGUGCGAAAGCGUGGGGAGCAAACAGGG
rnacentral:rRNA from 1 species